rnacentral:lncRNA from 1 species
CACAGAGCAGCUGAGAAUGGCACUCCUCUCCUGCCUGUUGGCUUACAAGCAGUAUGGCAGUUCCCUGAAUGUUCUAGAUACUCCCAGCAAUGUCAUGGGACUCAGGCACCACUCCCAAGGAUAGUUGAUGGCACAGCCUACGGGACUCUGCUCGUAGACUUCUGUGGAUUGGGUAAGUGGCUACCAUAAUGGCAAUGCCAGCUUGAUCUUGACCAAAGGAACUUUC